rnacentral:rRNA from 1 species
UACGUAGGGUGCGAGCGUUAAUCGGAAUUACUGGGCGUAAAGCGUGCGCAGGCGGCUUUGCAAGACAGAUGUGAAAUCCCCCGGGCUCAACCUGGGAACUGCAUUUGUGACUGCAUGGCUAGAGUGCGGCAGAGGGGGAUGGAAUUCCGCGUGUAGCAGUGAAAUGCGUAGAUAUGCGGAGGAACACCCGAUGGCGAAGGCAAUCCCCUGGGCCUGCACUGACGCUCAUGCACGAAAGCGUGGGGAGCAAACAGG